rnacentral:rRNA from 1 species
GACGUAGGGUGCGAGCGUUGUCCGGAUUUAUUGGGCGUAAAGAGCUCGUAGGUGGUUUGUCGCGUUGUUCGUGAAAACUCACAACUCAAUUGUGGGCGUGCGGGCGAUACGGGCAGACUGGAGUACUGCAGGGGAGACUGGAAUUCCUGGUGUAGCGGUGGAAUGCGCAGAUAUCAGGAGGAACACCGGUGGCGAAGGCGGCUCACUGGCCCGGUACUGACGCUGAGGUGCGAAAGCGUGGGGAGCAAACAGG